UCGAAACCUGCCAUGCAGAACGACCCGUGAACUAGUCAUCUAACUUGGUUGUGUUUAGUGUUGUCAAUUUCACUUGCACAACCUCCAGUCGGUUUGGAGAAAUAUUGUAUUCCUGCGAACUGGCCUAACAACGAACCCGACGUUAAAAGCGUCAAGGAAAUGAAACGAGUGACAACCAUCAUUGUUGUGUCGUCUACUCGACCCAACAGUGAGGGUUGUGCCUCCACAAUGUCUAUAACGACUCUCGGCAACGGAUAUCUCGGCUCUCGCAUCGAUGAAGAACGUAGCGAAAUGCGAUACUUGGUGUGAAUUGCAGAAUCCCGUGAACCAUCGAGUCUUUGAACGCAAGUUGCGCCCAAAGCCUUCGGGCUGAGGGCACGUCUGCCUGGGUGUCACGCACUCGUUGCUCCCUCUCCCUCGUCUUUAAAUUGUCGAUGAAUUGGGGGUGGAUUUUGGUCUCCCGUGUGCUCCCGCUUGCGGUUGGCCUAAAAUUGAGUCCUCGGCGUUGAUCGUCGUGACAUGCGGUGGUUGAAAAAUGCCUUCGAAAUAACAUAUCACGUGCGUCCAAUGCUACUUAUGUGACUUUGAGACCCUCUAUAAUCCUAAUGCGACCCCAGGUCAGGC
rnacentral:misc_RNA from 1 species